rnacentral:ribozyme from 1 species
CGGCGGAGGAGACACAAGCGGCGGCGGAUGAGACAGAAGUGGCCCGAGCGACGACGGAGGCCGCCGCCGGCGAGGACUCCGAACAACGACCCAGUCCGUCG